CGCGGGGUAGAGCAGUUGGUAGCUCGUCGGGCUCAUAACCCGGAGGUCGCAGGUUCAAGUCCUGUCCCCGCAA
rfam:Eubacterium sp. CAG:180 genomic scaffold, scf8